rnacentral:tRNA from 2 species
GCCCGCCUAGCUCAAUUGGUCAGAGCGUCAGACUUUUACGCUCAGGCGGAUGAUUAUCUGAAAGUUGCGGGUUCGAGUCCCGCGGUGGGCU